rnacentral:sRNA from 1 species
UGUAGGAGGUGGAAAUGGACAAAACCUGAAAAUGAUAGUCUCCAAAUACCCUUCAAUUCAAGGAAUUAAUUUUGAUCUGCCCCAAGUCAUUGAGAAUGCACCACUGCUAUCAGGGGUUGAGCAUGUUGGAGGAGAUAUGUUUGCAAGUGUUCCAGAGG